UCCGAAGGGGGCUAUCGUUGUUCGGAAUCACUGGGCGUAAAGCGCACGUAGGCGGCGCGUUAAGUCAGGGGUGAAAUCCUGGGGCUCAACCCCAGAACUGCCCUUGAUACUGAGGAGCUUGAGUCCGGGAGAGGUGAGUGGAACUCCGAGUGUAGAGGUGAAAUUCGUAGAUAUUCGGAAGAACACCAGUGGCGAAGGCGGCUCACUGGCCCGGUACUGACGCUGAGGUGCGAAAGCGUGGGGAGCAAACAGG
rnacentral:rRNA from 1 species